rnacentral:rRNA from 1 species
GUGGGGAAUCUUAGACAAUGGGCGCAAGCCUGAUCUAGCCAUGCCGCGUGAGCGAUGAAGGCCUUAGGGUUGUAAAGCUCUUUCGCUGGGGAAGAUAAUGACUGUACCCAGUAAAGAAGCCCCGGCUAACUCCGUGCCAGCAGCCGCGGUGAUACGGAGGGGGCUAGCGUUGUUCGGAAUUACUGGGCGUAAAGCGCGCGUAGGCGGAUUGGAAAGUUGGGGGUGAAAUCCCGGGGCUCAACCUCGGAACUGCCUUCAAAACUCCCAGUCUUGAGUUCGAGAGAGGUGAGUGGAAUUCCGAGUGUAGAGGUGAAAUUCGUAGAUAUUCGGAGGAACACCAGUGGCGAAGGCGGCUCACUGGCUCGAUACUGACGCUGAGGUGCGAAAGCGUGGGGAGCAAACAGGAUUAGAUACCCCUGUAGUCC